AAAUCCUACGGGGGGCAGCAGUGAGGAAUAUUGGUCAAUGGCCGGAAGGCUGAACCAGCCAAGUCGCGUGAGGGAAUAAGGCCCUAUGGGUCGUAAACUUCUUUUGUCAGGGAGCAAUUGGGUCCACGCGUGGGCUUAGCGAGAGUACCCGAAGAAAAAGCAUCGGCUAACUCCGUGCCAGCAGCCGCGGUAAUACGGAGGAUGCGAGCGUUAUCCGGAUUUAUUGGGUUUAAAGGGUGCGUAGGCGGAAUAUCAAGUCAGCGGUAAAAAUUCGGGGCUCAACCCCGUCGUGCCGUUGAAACUGA
rnacentral:rRNA from 1 species